rnacentral:miRNA from 1 species
CAGUUUACCUCUCUGUGAGAUGGGGGUGCCUGGCAUCUUCAAUCUCUUAGGAGGGGUUAACUAA